rnacentral:rRNA from 1 species
GUUGAACGCUGGCGGCAGGCCUAACACAUGCAAGUCGAGCGGAAACGAUGGUAGCUUGCUACCAGGCGUCGAGCGGCGGACGGGUGAGUAACGCGUGAGAAUCUACCCAUGAGUGGGGGACAACCCGGGGAAACUCGGGCUAAUACCGCAUACGCCCUACGGGGUAAAGCAGGGGACCUUCGGGCCUUGCGCUGAUGGAUGAGCUCGCGUCGGAUUAGCUUGUUGGUGAGGUAAAGGCUCACCAAGGCGACGAUCCGUAGCUGGUCUGAGAGGAUGAUCAGCCACACCGGGACUGAGACACGGCCCGG